rnacentral:tRNA from 1 species
GGUAGUAUAGUACAGUAGUUAAGCACACAGGGCUUACAUUCUGACAUCCAGGUUUAAUUCUUGGUUCUUCUU